GACGAACGCUGGCGGCGUGCCUAAUACAUGCAAGUCGAGCGGACUGGAGGGAGCUUGCUCCCAAAGGUCAGCGGCGGACGGGUGAGUAACACGUGGGUAACCUGCCUGGUAGACUGGGAUAACGCUUGGAAACGAGUGCUAAUACCGGAUAAUCUCCUGAAUCGCAUGGUUCAAGAGUAAAAGGAGCUUUUGCUUCACUGCCAGAUGGACCCGCGGCGCAUUAGCUAGUUGGUGAGGUAACGGCUCACCAAGGCGACGAUGCGUAGCCGACCUGAGAGGGUGACCGGCCACACUGGGACUGAGACACGGCCCAGACUCCUACGGGAGGCAGCAGUAGGGAAUCUUCCGCAAUGGGCGCAAGCCUGACGGAGCAACGCCGCGUGAGUGAUGAAGGCCUUCGGGUUGUAAAACUCUGUCUUCUGUGAAGAACCAUCCUGUGCAGAGAAAGCUCAGGACCUGACGGUAACAGAGGAGGAAGCCCCGGCUAACUACGUGCCAGCCGCCGCCGUAAAAC
rnacentral:rRNA from 1 species